UACGUAUGGGGCAAGCGUUAUCCGGAUUUACUGGGUGUAAAGGGAGCGUAGGUGGUUUGGCAAGUCAGAUGUGAAAGCCCGGGGCUCAACCCCGGUAGUGCAUUUGAAACUGCCAAACUAGAGUGCAGGAGAGGUAAGUGGAAUUCCUAAGUGUAGCGGUGAAAUGCGUAGAUAUUGGGAGGAACACCAGUGGCGAAGGCGACUUACUGGACUGUAACUGACGCUGAGGCUCGAAAGCGUGGGGAGCGAACAGG
rnacentral:rRNA from 1 species